rnacentral:rRNA from 1 species
CACGCCCUAAACGAUGUUCACUAGUUGUUGGGAUGUAACAAUCUCCGUAACGCAGCCAACGCGAGAAGUUAACCGCCUGGGAAGUACGGUCGCAAGACUAAAACUCAAAGGAAUUGACGG